GCCGGGCGUGGUGGUGCAUGCCUGUAAUCCCAGCUACUCGGGAGGCUGAGGCAGGAGAAUUGCUUGAACCCAGGAGACGGAGGUUGCAGUGACCCGAGAUCUUGCCACUACACUCCAGCCUGGGUGACAGAGCGAGACUCUGUCUCAA
rnacentral:SRP_RNA from 1 species